GAUGAACGCUGACAGAAUGCUUAACACAUGCAAGUCAACUUGAACUUCGGUUUGGGUGGCGGACGGGUGAGUCACGCGUAAAGAACUUUCCUCACAGAUAGGGACAACAUUUGGAAACGAAUGCUAAUACCUGAUAUUAUGAUUAUAUGGCAUCGUAUAAUUAUGAAAGCUAUAUGCGCUGUGAGAGAGCUUUGCGUCCCAUUAGCUAGUUGGAGAGGUAACGGCUCACCAAGGCGAUGAUGGGUAGCCGGCCUGAGAGGGUGAUCGGCCACAAGGGGACUGAGACACGGCCCUUACUCCUACGGGAGGAAGCAGUGGGGAAUAUUGGACAAUGGACCAAGAGUCUGAUCCAGCAAUUCUGUGUGCAAGAUGAAGUUUUUCGGAAUGUAAAGUGCUUUCAGUUGGGAAGAAAAAAAUGACGGUACCAACAGAAGAAGUGACGGCUAAAUACGUG
rnacentral:rRNA from 1 species